UAGGGAAUCUUCCGCAAUGGGCGAAAGCCUGACGGAGCAACGCCGCGUGAGUGAUGAAGGUCUUCGGAUCGUAAAACUCUGUUAUUAGGGAAGAACAUAUGUGUAAGUAACUGUGCACAUCUUGACGGUACCUAAUCAGAAAGCCACGGCUAACUACGUGCCAGCAGCCGCGGUAAUACGUAGGUGGCAAGCGUUAUCCGGAAUUAUUGGGCGUAAAGCGCGCGUAGGCGGUUGUUUAAGUCUGAUGUGAAAGCCCACGGCUCAACCGUGGAGGGUCAUUGGAAACUGGAAAACUUGAGUGCAGAAGAGGAAAGUGGAAUUCCAUGUGUAGCGGUGAAAUGCGCAGAGAUAUGGAGGAACACCAGUGGCGAAGGCGACUUUCUGGUCUGUAACUGACGCUGAUGUGCGAAAGCGUGGGGAUCAAACA
rnacentral:rRNA from 1 species